rnacentral:rRNA from 1 species
UACGUAGGGUGCGAGCGUUAAUCGGAAUACUGGGCGUAAAGCGUGCGCAGGCGGUUUUGUAAGCCAGAUGUGAAAUCCCCGGGCUUAACCUGGGAACUGCGUUUGAAACUACAAGGCUAGAGUGUGGCAGAGGGGGGGUGGAAUUCCUGGUGUAGCAGUGAAAUGCGUAGAUAUCUGGAGGAAUACCGGUGGCGAAGGCGGCAUCCUGGACCGACAUUGACGCUGAACGGCGAAAGCUAGGGGAGCAAA